rnacentral:lncRNA from 1 species
UCUGCUUGGAAAGAAUGGUCUUGAGGGUGAGCAUAGGUGGAGAAAACCUACUUGUUUCAGCAGUUAGCAUGAGAUGAGUAGAGACUUUUGAAGCUUCAAGAUCUAAAACAUCAAGUGUUAUGACCUGACAUCCAAGACUCAGUUCGAGGCAACCAUCCCUUCCAGAGAAGAAGAUACCUGAGCCUUCACCUUUGGCAAAAAGAAAAGCCUAUGAGAAAACAAUGGAAAAGACAAAGACUAAAGAACAAAAACUCUCAGAUUCUGGAGCCCCAGAGGCUAGUCUGUCACCUCCUACUUCCCCACCAAG